UAUGGGCCGAGGACAGGUGUUACCCCUGGUUUAUAGGUGAGAAAAGUGAGGCUGAGAAAGGUCCACUCACCCAGCAUCCUACUGCUGGGAGUUGUCGAACUGGCAUUCAACCCAGGCCUUCCAACCCCAAAGCCCAUAAAACUUAUUCAAAGACAUAUUUAAUAGCAAUUUAAUGUACGAGACUCUUGAAUUCUUUUUUUCACACUUCUUUCAAACUUUCUAAACAUGCCAUAAAAAUGCACAAAUCCUGGGUGUUGAUUUUGAUGAAUUUUGACAAUUGCGUCCAUCUGUGUAACCACCGCCCUGUACAAGAUGUAAAACAUUUCACUCGUCCCUGUCCCCGAACAUUCCUUUCUGCCUCUUUCCUGUCAGUUCCCCUCCCAACCCUGGGGACACAUUCUGAUGUCUGUCUGUCUCUGCAGUUUGCCUGCUGUCAAGUCCGUCCAAAGCGAGUGCCUAAUCUGCUGUGUCUGGCUUCUCUCACUCCGCGUGUUCGGGGGAUUCAUCUCUGUUAUUGCGAGUAUCAGUAAUUCAAAGCACUGUUUACCUCUGAGCGCCUGAUCAGCAGCUGCCUGGUCCCCAAGAACCCGAGAGCUCAGGCUUUAUUUCUCCCUGAUGAUGGUUAUCCGUGUAUCGCUCGAGGUGCAGCUUGAGAGCAAAGUAACUGUGAGCUCAGAGUUGAAAACUUGGUGAUAAGACAUGAAGAGAGAAGGAUGAAUUUGCAAAGAAUGAUCCUCCCCCAGUCCUCUUCCCUAGACCCCUCUUACUCCUUCGAGAGCGUGACCUUUCCCUGAAACUUUGGCACGGAGAGGCGGCCACAGGGCUUUGCCAUCGCCUGUGAUAAGACCUCACCAACAAAGACAGCCUCCGGGGACCACGGCCAGCAGGGCUGCCACAGCCUUUCCGCCCCGUCCCCCGGGGAAUCUGAAAUGCAGCCGGAUUCUUAGGGCCCAGACCAUGCGCCUAAGAGAGCGGCUUCAGUGGGCUUGGGAUUCAGACAGAGCUUCCCAGCUGGCUUGGG